rnacentral:rRNA from 1 species
AUUGAACGCUGGCGGAAUGCUUUACACAUGCAAGUCGAGCGGCAGCACGGGGGCAACCCUGGUGGCGAGCGGCGAACGGGUGAGUAAUACAUCGGAACAUGCCCAGUCGUGGGGGAUAACACUUCGAAAGAAGUGCUAAUACCGCAUACGUCCUGAGGGGGAAAGCGGGGGAUCGCAAGACCUCGCGCGAUUGGAGUGGCCGAUGUCAGAUUAGCUAGUUGGUGGGGUAAAGGCCUACCAAGGCAACGAUCUGUAGCUGGUCUGAGAGGAUGAUCAGCCACACUGGGACUGAGACACGGCCCAGACUCCUACGGGAGGCAGCAGUGGGGAAUUUUGGACAAUGGGGGCAACCCUGAUCCAGCCAUUCCGCGUGAGUGAAGAAGGCCUUCGGGUUGUAAAGCUCUUUCGGCAGGAACGAAACGGCGAGCUCUAACAUAGCUUGCUAAUGACGGUACCUGAAGAAGAAGCACCGGCUAACUACGUG